AGGGCACAUAUAUUUUUUGUGUAUGCACGAGCUCGCUGCGAAGAAUGUUCCUGUUUCACUGGACAUUGUACUGAACUGCUGUUUUCUAGAGAAACUACUUAUUCGUAUAUCGUACGAAGUUGAGGAAGUCACAUGAUGCCAAUCAUUGACUUAAGAAUAAAUUUUCCAGGCAUACGCAUAGACGAUUUGUUUCUAUUUAUUAUGGACGGUGGUCAGUACAACUGCAUAACUGUAAACGAGAGCAGAAUUCCUCCCUUUAACAGUGUUUAGAAUCAGCUUUCCAUGAUGCGGCGGAAUCCCACUCUAAAUCCAAAUCACCGGUAGGAAAUAAUAUUAUAGAGCCACUAAUCCUACUAUGUAAGACCAAACUAAUGAAAUAAAUGCCAUAGAUUUAUCAAU